rnacentral:rRNA from 1 species
CGUAAACGGUGGAUGCUGGAUGUGGGGCCCGUUCCACGGGUUCCGUGUCGGAGCUAACGCGUUAAGCAUCCCGCCUGGGGAGUACGGCCGCAAGGCUAAAACUCAAAGAAAUUGACGGGGGCCCGCACAAGCGGCGGAGCAUGCGGAUUAAUUCGAUGCAACGCGAAGAACCUUACCUGGGCUUGACAUGUUCCCGACGGUCGUAGAGAUGCGGCUUCCCUUCGGGGCGGGUUCACAGGUGGUGCAUGGUCGUCGUCAGCUCGUGUCGUGAGAUGUUGGGUUAAGUCCCGCAACGAGCGCAACCCUCGCCCCGUGUUGCCAGCGGAUUAUGCCGGGAACUCACGGGGGACCGCCGGGGUUAACUCGGAGGAAGGUGGGGAUGACGUCAGAUCAUCAUGCCCCUUACGUCCAGGGCUUCACGCAUGCUACAAUGGCCGGUACAACGGGAUGCGACGCGGCGACGCGGAGCGGAUCCCUGAAAACCGGUCUCAGUUCGGAUCGCAGUCUGCAACUCGACUGCGUGAAGGCGGAGUCGCUAGUAAUCGCGAAUCAGCAACGUCGCGGUGAAUGCGUUCCCGGGCCUUGUACACACCGCCCGUCAAGUCAUGAAAGUGGGCAGCACCCGAAGCCGGUGGCCUAACCCCUUGUGGGAUGGAGCCGUCUAAGGUGAGGCUCGUGAUUGGGACUAAGUCGUAACAAGGUAGCCGUACCGGAAGGUGCGGCUG